CCCAUAUUUCUGCCGAAUCCGUCCGCUUCUCCGCGGGCGGAGCGGGGGACCCACAUCCCCAGGGGCGAAAGGUCAAGGGCCACGCCGGCCCGUCUGGCCAAGCGCGACUCCUCCGCGCGAGCCCGACAGCUAACCCCGUAGGCCGACGAGGAACGGAUGA
rnacentral:sRNA from 2 species